AACGAACGCUGGCGGCAUGCCUAACACAUGCAAGUCGAACGAGACCUGCGGGCAUAGUGGCGCACGGGUGCGUAACGCGUGGGAACCUGCCCGUAGGUUCGGAAUAACGCCAGGAAAGGGGUGCUAAUACCGGAUAAUGUCUUCGGACCAAAGAUUUAUCGCCUUGGGAUGGGCCCGCGUUGGAUUAGCUAGAUUGUAGGGUAAAAGCCUACCAAGGCGACGAUCCAUAGCUGGUCUGUGAGGAUGAUCAGCCACACUGGGACUGAGACACGGCCCAGACUCCUACGGGAGGCAGCAGUGGGGAAUAUUGGACAAUGGGCGAAAGCCUGAUCCAGCAAUGCCGCGUGAGUGUUGAAGGCCUUAGGGUUGUAAAGCUCUUUUACCCGGGAUGAUAAUGACAGUACCGGGAGAAUAAGCUCCGGCUAACUCCGUG
rnacentral:rRNA from 1 species